rnacentral:lncRNA from 1 species
CUGAAGGCCUUUAAUUCAGUUUGCCUCACACCUGGCCUGAAUGUUCUCCAGCGGGCAGACAAUAAAGCCCCACAAGGAGCCACAGAUGUUUGUAGUACACAGCCUUCUGGGUAGUGAGCAAUACCAAACAGGAUGGACAGAGCCCUGAUAGCGUUUGCUGAAGGAAGUGGGCUAGGGUUUUACAGCAAGGGCACAUGGAGAGGACUAGUCUUCCCUAGUUUGUGUGAUCAACAAAGACUUCACAGAGAAGAGCUUCCUGAGUGGGAGACAAAGCCCAAGGUGUUUGGGAAAAUGCAGUGUGUUCCUCAUGGCUGGCACCUGGAGUGGCAGAGGAGCGUAUGGAGCAUGCUAAGAGUGCUGGUUUUUGUCCUCCAGUGCAAUGCUCCAUGAUAUGGCUUGGAAUCUUAGGAACCUGAACUUCUGUAUACCGUGUGUACUAAAAUGAUGGUGGCAGAAGCCACCAUGGUGAAUUGAAG